ACGGGGCGCAGCAGGCGCGAAACCUUUGCAAUACACGAAAGUGUGACAAGGGGAUUCCAAGUGUGCAUAUACCAUAUGCACUUUUUCGAAGUUUAAAACGCUUUGGGAAUAAGGGGUGGGCAAGACUAGUGCCAGCCGCCGCGGUAAAACUAGCAUCUCGAGUGGCAGUCACAAUUAUUGGGCUUAGAGCGUCCGUAGCUCGUUCGGAAAGUCUCUGGUGAAAUCCUACGGCUUAACCGUAGGGCGCGCCGGAGAAACUACCGAGCUAGAGGGCAGGAGAGGUCGGGGGUACGUCUGGGGUAGGGGUGAAAUCCUAUAAUCCUAGACGGACCAACAGUGGCGAAGGCGCCCGACAUGAAUGCGCCUGACAGUGAGGGACGAGAGCCAAGAGCGCGAAACGGAUUAGAUACCCGUGUAGUCUUGGCCGUAAACGAUGCCGACUAGGUGGGGUGUGACCUUAGUGGUCAUGCUAUGCCGAAGGGAAACCGUUAAGUUGGCCGCCUGGGGAGUACGCUCGCAGGGUGAAACUUAAAGGAAUUGGCGGGGGAGCAC
rnacentral:rRNA from 1 species